rnacentral:rRNA from 1 species
AGAGUUUGAUCCUGGCUCAGGAUGAACGCUAGCGGCAGGCUUAAUACAUGCAAGUCGAGGGGCAGCAGGGGUAGCAAUACUCGCUGGCGACCGGCAAACGGGUGCGGAACACGUACGCAACCUACCCAAAACUGGGGAAUAGCCCGGGGAAACCCGGAUUAAUACCUCGUAACAUAUUAGAGUGGCAUCACUUUAUUAUUAUAGCUCCGGCGGUUUUGGAUGGGCGUGCGCCUGAUUAGGUAGUUGGCAGGGUAACGGCCUACCAAGCCUACGAUCAGUAACUGGUGUGAGAGCACGACCAGUCACACGGGCACUGAGACACGGGCCCGACUCCUACGGGAGGCAGCAGUAAGGAAUAUUGGUCAAUGGACGCAAGUCUGAACCAGCCAUGCCGCGUGAAGGAUGAAGGUCCUCUGGAUUGUAAACUUCUUUUAUAUGGGACGAAACCUCUUAUUCUUAAGAGACUGACGGUACCAUAGGAAUAAGCACCGGCUAACUCCGUGCCAGCAGCCGCGGUAAUACGGAGGGUGCAAGCGUUAUCCGGAUUCACUGGGUUUAAAGGGUGCGUAGGAGGGCAGGUAAGUCAGUGGUGAAAUCUUCGAGCUUAACUCGGAAACUGCCGUUGAUACUAUCUGUCUUGAAUACCGUGGAGAUGAGCGGAAUAUGUCAUGUAGCGGUGAAAUGCUUAGAUAUGACAUAGAACACCAAUUGCGAAGGCAGCUCGUUACACGAAUAUUGACUCUGAGGCACGAAAGCGUGGGGAUCAAACAGGAUUAGAUACCCUAGUAGUCC